GUAAAGCACUUUCAGUAGGGAGGAAGGUAGUGUAGUUAACACCUGCACUAUUUGACGUUACCUACAGAAGAAGCACCGGCUAACUCCGUGCCAGCAGCCGCGGUAAUACGGAGGGUGCGAGCGUUAAUCGGAAUUACUGGGCGUAAAGCGCAUGCAGGCGGCCUGUUAAGUCAGAUGUGAAAGACCCGGGGCGUUAACCUCGGAAUUGCAUUUGAAACUGGCAGGCUAGAGUCUUGUAGAGGGGGGUAGGAAGUUUCAGGUGUAGCGGUGAAAUGCGUAGAGAUCUGAAGGAAUACCAGUGGCGAAGGCGGCCCCCUCGGACAAAGACUGACGCUCAGAUGCGAAAGCGUGGGGAGCAAACAGGAUUAGAUACCCUGGUAG
rnacentral:rRNA from 1 species